AACGAACGCUGGCGGCGUGGAUAAGACAUGCAAGUGGAACGCCAACCAGUGGAUAGCAAUAUUCGCUGGAAGGAGUCGCGUAAGGGUGCGUAACACGUGGGCAAUCUGCCCUGAAGCUCGGGACAACCUGCCGAAAGGCAAGCUAAUACCGAAUGUGAUCUUUUGCAGGCAUCUGUGAAAGCUCAAAGCUGGGGAUCGUAAGACCUGGCGCUUUAGGAUGAGCCCGCGGCCUAUCAGCUAGUUGGUGAGGUAACGGCCCACCAAGGCUAAGACGGGUAGCCGGUCUGAGAGGACGAUCGGCCACACUGGAACUGAGACACGGUCCAGACACCUACGGGUGGCAGCAGUCGAGAAUCUUUCACAAUGGGCGAAAGCCUGAUGGAGCGACGCCGCGUGGGGGAUGAAGGCCUUCGGGUCGUAAACCCCUGU
rnacentral:rRNA from 1 species